rnacentral:rRNA from 1 species
AGAGUUUGAUCCUGGCUCAGAACGAACGCUGGCGGCGUGGAUAAGACAUGCAAGUCGAACGAGACUUUUCGUUGUAGCAAUAUGAUGGAAAGUUUAGUGGCGAACGGGUGCUUAACACGUGGGCAACCUGCCAUGAAGUGGGGGAUAGCUCGCCGAAAGGCGAAUUAAUACCGCAUGUGAUUAGAAAGGACAUCCUUUCGAAAUUAAAGUCGGGGCAACCUGACGCUUCUUGUGGGGCCCGCGGCCUAUCAGCUAGUUGGUGAGGUAACGGCUCACCAAGGCUUUGACGGGUAGCUGGUCUGAGAGGACGACCAGCCACACUGGGACUGAGACACGGCCCAGACACCUACGGGUGGCAGCAGUCGAGAAUUUUUGACAAUGGGGGAAACCCUGAUCGAGCGACGCCGCGUGGAGGAUGAAGGUCUUCGGAUUGUAAACUCCUGUCAUUUGGGAACAAGGUGCACACGUUAACUGCGUGAGUAUUGAUAGUACCAGAAGAGGAAGAGACGGCUAACUCUGUGCCAGCAGCCGCGGUAAUACAGAGGUCUCAAGCGUUGUUCGGAUUCAUUGGGCGUAAAGGGUGCGUAGGCGGCGCGGUAAGUCGGGUGUGAAAUCUCGGAGCUUAACUCCGAAACUGCAUUCGAUACUGCCGUGCUUGAGGACUGGAGAGGAGACUGGAAUUUACGGUGUAGCGGUGAAAUGCGUAGAUAUCGUAAGGAAGACCAGUGGCGAAGGCGGGUCUCUGGACAGUUCCUGACGCUGAGGCACGAAGGUCAGGGGAGCAAACGGGAUUAGAUACCCUAGUAGUCC